AGGCGUAGUCGAUGGGAAACAGGUUAAUAUUCCUGUACUUGGUGUUACUGCGAAGGGGGGACGGAGAAGGCUAUGUUGGCCGGGCGACGGUUGUCCCGGUUUAAGCGUGUAGGCUGGUUUUCCAGGCAAAUCCGGAAAAUCAAGGCUGAGGCGUGAUGACGAGGCACUACGGUGCUGAAGCAACAAAUGCCCUGCUUCCAGGAAAAGCCUCUAAGCAUCAGGUAACAUCAAAUCGUACCCCAAACCGACACAGGUGGUCAGGUAGAGAAUACCAAGGCGCUUGAGAGAACUCGGGUGAAGGAACUAGGCAAAAUGGUGCCGUAACUUCGGGAGAAGGCACGCUGAUAUGUAGGUGAAGUCCCUUGCGGAUGGAGCUGAAAUCAGUCGAAGAUACCAGCUGGCUGCAACUGUUUAUUAAAAACACAGCACUGUGCAAACACGAAAGUGGACGUAUACGGUGUGACGCCUGCCCGGUGCCGGAAGGUUAAUUGAUGGGGUCAGCGCAAGCGAAGCUCUUGAUCGAAGCCCCGGUAAACGGCGGCCGUAACUAUAACGGUCCUAAGGUAGCGAAAUUCCUUGUCGGGUAAGUUCCGACCUGCACGAAUGGCGUAAUGAUGGCCAGGCUGUCUCCACCCGAGACUCAGUGAAAUUGAACUCGCUGUGAAGAUGCAGUGUACCCGCGGCAAGACGGAAAGACCCCGUGAACCUUUACUAUAGCUUGACACUGAACAUUGAGCCUUGAUGUGUAGGAUAGGUGGGAGGCUUUGAAGUGUGGACGCCAGUCUGCAUGGAGCCGGCCUUGAAAUACCACCCUUUAAUGUUUGAUGUUCUAACGUGGACCCGUGAUCCGGGUUGCGGACAGUGUCUGGUGGGUAGUUUGACUGGGGCGGUCUCCUCCUAAAGAGUAACGGAGGAGCACGAAGGUUGGCUAAUCCUGGUCGGACAUCAGGAGGUUAGUGCAAUGGCAUAAGCCAGCUUGACUGCGAGCGUGACGGCGCGAGCAGGUGCGAAAGCAGGUCAUAGUGAUCCGGUGGUUCUGAAUGGAAGGGCCAUCGCUCAACGGAUAAAAGGUACUCCGGGGAUAACAGGCUGAUACCGCCCAAGAGUUCAUAUCGACGGCGGUGUUUGGCACCUCGAUGUCGGCUCAUCACAUCCUGGGGCUGAAGUAGGUCCCAAGGGUAUGGCUGUUCGCCAUUUAAAGUGGUACGCGAGCUGGGUUUAGAACGUCGUGAGACAGUUCGGUCCCUAUCUGCCGUGGGCGCUGGAGAACUGAGGGGGGCUGCUCCUAGUACGAGAGGACCGGAGUGGACGCAUCACUGGUGUUCGGGUUGUCAUGCCAAUGGCACUGCCCGGUAGCUAAAUGCGGAAGAGAUAAGUGCUGAAAGCAUCUAAGCACGAAACUUGCCCCGAGAUGAGUUCUCCCUGACCCUUUAAGGGUCCUGAAGGAACGUUGAAGACGACGACGUUGAUAGGCCGGGUGUGUAAGCGCAGCGAUGCGUUGAGCUAACCGGUACUAAUGAACCGUGAGG
rnacentral:rRNA from 1 species